ACUUUUCGCAGUGGUCUAUGAACGAUGUCAUCCUCGCACAAAACCUAAAACCUCUACCUGACGUUUUUAAACAUUAAACCUCGAUGUUUCUGAACAACCAAUCUUUCACUUUUGCCCAUCAGGACUCAUCAAUGGGACUCUCCGCCAUCCGCCGCAAAUGGCAACAGAAGAAUUUGUGUUCAUACAGGAAACACGAGGCUUCAUAUCAUGUGGGCCUCUAUUUGAUAUAAUAAGCACGCAAAUCUAAGACAGAGAAAAGAAUAAUACCAAAAUUCAAAGCCACGAAUAUAACAAUAUUGAAGUCAUGG
rnacentral:misc_RNA from 1 species